CAAAAUGAUUUAUGAUGAGGGGGUGGGACUAAGGUGUGUGGCUUACAGCUGAAGAGGUGGGGCUAGCGCCCCCUGGGAUGAUCUGAGAGUAUUUUAGUAUGACAUGAGUGCACACCGGAUUGGAAGAUCUGUAUCUCUGGUUCUACAAUUGCAAGAGUGCUAAUCAACACAUCAUAUAAACAUUUUUUGUGUGUACGCCAGGAUAUGGAUGGAGACAAGAAUCAGUUCCAACAUCUGAUUCAGUCACUGAAGAGGAGGAGGGCCCUGACUGAGGAGACCGGGAUCCUCCUUGUGGAGAACCACGAAGGCAUGGACAUCAUGGAGGAGGACCUCCCUGAUGAACAGCUGUUGCUGCUGCAGGAGGAGGAGGAGGAGGAGGAGUAGCCCCAGCCCAGCACUUCAACUGCAGGUUCCUGCACCUGCGUAUCCUUUCAUGAAGAAACAUCGUCACUGCAUGCCUCUCUCUGUACCUUCUAUACCUUUUGUUUCCUCUGUUACUGCAUGUACCUAAUGUCUCACUGUUUUCUUAUUGCAUGUUUUCUCUGUUUCAUCUUGCUGUAAAGACAAUUUACUGUAAAUAGUUUACUGAUCAUUAUCUUGUAUAAAAUGUUAUAAAAUGUAUAAAACACUAUUUGUUGUGUUAUAAAAUAUAAAUGUUUUGCAAGAAAAGGUUUUCAGUCUGAUUGUAUU